UUGACAUUCCACCUUCCUUGGUAUAUGGACGCUCCAUAUCACUUGUUUCGAUUGUUUGGGGUUUCACUUCUUUAGAAGGACGACUUUUUACUACGGGGUUUGGUUUUUCUUUGUAAUGAUAAACUCACGUUGAAUAAAUUUUUGACGAGGACUAUUGUGCAGAGAGAAAAUGAGGUCAGGUUUUUUCCAUUAAGACACGUUUCAACGGUUGAUGGACUCUCGAAUUUUGUGAGGAUUGCUGUGACAGUGACGAUUUUUGGCACGAAUAAACUCACUUUUUCACGACAAAUGACGAUGGAAAUGAAUUUGUUUAACCCUUUCAGUCAUGAAUUUUUCAUCUACAUCAGUUUUCAUCAAAAUUGGUUAAAGAUUCAUUAAAAGAUU